GAACAGUAGAAUGAGUUCAGAAACACAUGUAUAAUGGCUGACAGAGGCAGUUUAUCAGUCUUCAUUUAAUCAUUCUUCAUCCUGUUUUGUUCUUUAGAGAAAGCACUGCUUUUUCACUCUUUUGGCAAUUGAAAGCAACGUCAAUUAAAGGGACAUACGCCUGA